CCUACGGGUGACAGCAGUCGGGAAUAUUGCGCAAUGGAGGAAACUCUGACGCAGUGACGCCGCGUAUAGGAAGAAGGUUUUCGGAUUGUAAACUAUUGUCGUUAGGGAAGAAAAAAAGACAGUACCUAAGGAGGAAGCUCCGGCUAACUACGUGCCAGCAGCCGCGGUAAUACGUAGGGAGCGAGCGUUAUCCGGAUUUAUUGGGUGUAAAGGGUGCGUAGACGGGUAUACAAGUUGGUUGUGAAAUCCCUCGGCUUAACUGAGGAACUGCAACCAAAACUGUAUAUCUUGAGUACAGGAGAGGUAAGUGGAAUUCCUAGUGUAGCGGUGAAAUGCGUAGAUAUUAGGAGGAACACCAGUGGCGAAGGCGACUUACUGGACUGAAACUGACGUUGAGGCACGAAAGUGUGGGGAGCAAACAGGAUUAGAUACCCGGGUAGUC
rnacentral:rRNA from 1 species